AAUAUUUGAAGUAGAGAAUGUGCUUCUACGUACAUUUUAAGGUCAUAAGAGAUACAGGAAAGGGUACACCUGUCAAAUAAC
rnacentral:ncRNA from 12 species